AGCCAUCAUUUAAAGAGUGCGUAAUAGCUCACUGGUCGAGUGACACUGCGCCGAAAAUGUACCGGGGCUAAACGGAUUACCGAAGCUGUGGAUGGACAUCGUAGAUGUCCGUGGUAGGAGAGCGUUCUAAGGGCGUUGAAGUCAGACCGGAAGGACUGGUGGAGCGCUUAGAAGUGAGAAUGCCGGUAUGAGUAACGAAAGACGGGUGAGAAUCCCGUCCACCGAAUGCCUAAGGUUUCCUGAGGAAGGCUCGUCCGCUCAGGGUUAGUCGGGACCUAAG
rnacentral:rRNA from 1 species